rnacentral:rRNA from 1 species
ACGCUCGACACCUACGGAGGCAGCAGUGGGGAAUAUUGGGCAAUGGAGGCAACUCUGACCCAGCAACGCCGCGUGAAUGAUGAAGGUCUUCGGAUUGUAAAGUUCUGUGACGGGGGACGAACACAAUGACGGUACCCCGAUAGCAAGCCACGGCUAACUACGUGCCACAGUCCGCGGUAAUCUGAGCGGGCUGGCAAGGC